rfam:Escherichia coli ISC11, WGS project CBWP01000000 data, contig: c9
GAUACUGAAUUUGCGAAAAGACAGAGAUAAAUACUGACUUUCAUUUGAAGGCAGUAUUACUCCUAUGGAGGUAGUCGUUAUUGUCCGACGUCAAACGGGCAUAAAAAAAAGCGCCCGAAGGCGCUUUUUUAGCAGG